GUGAGGAAUAUUGCGCAAUGGAGGCAACUCUGACGCAGCCAUGCCGCGUGCAGGAAGAAGGCGCUACGCGUUGUAAACUGCUUUUAACCGGGAAGAAACCCCAGGACGUGUCCUGGGUUGACGGUACCGGAGGAAUAAGCACCGGCUAACUUCGUGCCAGCAGCCGCGGUAAUACGAAGGGUGCAAGCGUUAUCCGGAUUCAUUGGGUUUAAAGGGUGCGUAGGCGGAGCGUUAAGUCAGUGGUGAAAUCCUGCAGCUUAACUGUAGACUUGCCAUUGAUACUGGCGCUCUUGAGUGCGCUUGAAGUGGGCGGAAUGUGCCGUGUAGCGGUGAAAUGCUUAGAUAUGGCACAGAACACCAAUCGCGAAGGCAGCUCACUAAGGCGAUACUGACGCUGAGGCACGAAAGCGUGGGGAUCGAACAGGAUUAGAUACCCUGGUAGUCC
rnacentral:rRNA from 1 species